AGCAUUGUCUUUAAGCCAAUAUACUUUGUUUAUGGAUCUUCAAUAGAUUCUUUUGUGAAAAGGGGGAUUAGAAGUCUUUUGGUUCAAUGGAAAAUUAGCUCAGCAGUCCAGUGAGAAAGUGUUGAAGGAUGCAAUGAAACCAUCACAAAACAGUAAGUAAAUUGAUAAGUUUCUGACAAAAAACUGUGAAUCAAGAAUAAAAUUAAAUAACUGUAUGAUAAUAUGACGUAUCAGGUUCUGCUUAUGUCUAUGAAAGCUGGCGUCGAACUGAAUCUAACCGCUUCUUCACACGUCUUCUUAACGGUACAGUUUAUCUUUACGAUUACGUUUAAGUUCUUCUUGAUCAUGAAGAGUUGAUGACAUAAUAUGAAAAUUAAUAGCGUAGGGCAGAAAAGAAUGGCAUGUGGAAGAAGCUUCAUUGUUAAAGUAAUACUAUAAAUUACAUUCUCAUUGAGUUUCUUGCAUCGUAAGUAAUAUAUUUCUCAGUAACAUGGUAUGUUUUUGGAUGAUCCAGACCAGGUCACCUUCUACACUCCUGGGCGUGACAAGUCAGAUAAUAGGAAAACAAAAGCUUGCUACAUGUCUCUCUAAGGUAGUUUUAUUUCUUCCUGAAUUGGUCUAAACAAGCAGAAGAAGGCUAAGGGAAACCGGAACAUUAUCUUCUGGUUGGACACAGACGCGCUUGGAAUGCAUUGGAUCGUUUGGUGCAAGAAAAUUUUAUGUAUAAGAAACCACAGGAGAAGAAGGUGGUCAAGUAAAGUGAUGGAAGAUCUAACUCCAUUAACGGAGCUAUAAUAGGAGGAAGCUUUAUGCUUGGAUCAACAAGUCUCCACCCAUAAAUGUAGACAAGACAAUCAGUUUUUUUUUUUUUUGCAAUUAUUAUUUGUUCCCAAUAGUCCAAAAACUACCGUUGACGAAGUCUUUUUCUUUUGUAUUUCUCAUUCACUAUAAAUAAAAAUUUCAAAUUUCUUCUUGAUUUUGCCUUUAUGUGAUAGAUUAAAACAAAAGAUUUUGUUUGGUAUGUACAAGCAAAUGUUACUUUUAUGUUAGUUUCGACUGCGAUUAGCGUUUGAUGUUGUUUGAAAUGUCAAUUUGAUCUCUUUCUUUUGCAAUGGUGCAACUGAGAAGUUUCAUGCAGGCAUAAAAGUAUUCAAAUCUGUUUUAAAUUUGUGGCCAAUAUAGUGGAUAUUUACUCUUGGAUAUAGAGGAACUCUAUUAUAGAAGUAUACAUUGGAGCAAAUCCACCUCUAUAAUAGAGAUCUCUAUUUUAGAGGAAAAUAUAGAGAUAUACAUUGGAGAUGCUCUAAUAUAGUGGAUAUCUACUCUUGGGUUGCAAUAGCUAAUGUGAUUCACGAUAUUGGUUGCAAAGGGAACAAUGGUACAUGAUCAAGCAACGGGCUAUUGGUGGCCACAAAUUUUUUUGUUAAAAAAUUAAGUUUUCUGAAUAUGUUCCAACUUAAAUUUUUUUGAAGUGUGAUUUUACAAGUUUUCUGAAUAUUAAUAUAACGUUUGAAUCAUUGGAAAAUGGUAAUAAUUUUCAUGAGAUUAACAGAGCAUAAACCCAUAUGAAAUUAAGUUGUGAGGGUUUUAGGAAAAUUGGAUAUUUAGUUCCAAAAUAGAGCAACGAUAUUAAGAUUAUUUUGUUUUUGUUAAAGAACAAUGUUAAGAUUUGUUAUCAUAUAAAUAUAUGUACUAAUAGUGUUGUCAUAUAAACAUAUGUACUUAUAGCAAAUCACACUUCAAAAAUGUUCAAUUGUAUCAAAAAUGAUAGGAUACAUAUUUAUUUGUGUAUGUGCAUGACUUUUAUCGUAUCUCCCUUCAAAACUAUAGUAUGCAAUAAUGCUGACUUUCAUUUUACUAUUGAACAAACUUCCAAAUAUGUUCCAACUAAAAACUCUAACAAUGUGAUUUCACCAUUUACUUAUAAUAUCCCAUAAAAUAAAAUAAUAAAAUCAAAAAGAACUAAAAAAUAACCUAACAAACAAUGAUUUUAAACUCAUUUUCAAAUGGAAAUAAUGUUUCAUAAGCUCAAACCAACGAAAAGAUCUAAUCUCACAAAUAUUUUUUCUUUUGUGUUACCAAACUCAAAAACCAAAAAAAUAAUAUGAAAAUUAAUGGAAAAGCAAAAUGAGCAAUUAUACAUAAUCAAACAUAUAGUUAAAAAAGAGUAACACUAUCUAAUAAAUAAAA